AUGAACUGGAGCUGUAGAGUCCUUUACACGGUGGCAGUGGCUACAGGUGUCCACUCCCAGGUACAGCUGGUGCAACCUGAGGCUGAGGUGAGGAAUCCUGGGGCUUCAGUGAAGGUCUCCUGCAAGGCUUCUGGAUACACCUUCACCAGCUACAACAUGCACUGGGUGAGACAAGGCCCAGGUCAAGGACUUGAGUGGAUGGGGUAUGUUAACCAUUACACUGGUGGUACCGGAUAUGCACAGAAGUUCCAAGGCAGACUCACCAUAACCACAGACAAGUCUGAGAGCACAGCCUACAUGAAGCUGAGCAGCCUGAGAGCCGAGGACUUAGCUGUGUAUUACUGUGUGAGACACACAGUGAGGGGAACUCAGUGUGAACCUUGA